CCUACGGGAGGCAGCAGUGAGGAAUAUUGGUCAAUGGACGCAAGUCUGAACCAGCCAUGCCGCGUGCAGGAAGACGGCUCUAUGAGUUGUAAACUGCUUUUGUACAAGGGUAAACGCAGAUACGCGUAUCUGUCUGAAAGUAUCGUACGAAUAAGGAUCGGCUAACUCCGUGCCAGCAGCCGCGGUAAUACGGAGGAUUCAAGCGUUAUCCGGAUUUAUUGGGUUUAAAGGGUGCGUAGGCGGGCUGUUAAGUUAGAGGUGAAAUCCCGAGGCUCAACUUCGGAAUUGCCUCUGAUACUGUCAGGCUAGAGAGUAGUUGCGGUAGGCGGAAUGUAUGGUGUAGCGGUGAAAUGCUUAGAGAUCACACAGAACACCGAUUGCGAAGGCAGCUUACCAAGCUACCUCUGACGUUGAGGCACGAAAGUGUGGGGAGCAAACAGGAUUAGAUACCCCAGUAGUC
rnacentral:rRNA from 1 species